AGCCCCUGCAUGACCUGUCCUGGACUGACCCCUGUGUUGUCUUGCCUGCAGGACACAGUGAGGUGGACGUGGAAGGGGCUGAGUUGGACCCAGGUCAUGUGGUACACAGCCUCUCAGCUCUACACCAACGUCACAGUGGAGUUCCUGCCUGUCUACACCCCCUCGCAGGAAGAGCGGGAGAGCCCCGCCCUCUUCGCGGACAACGUGCGGAAGGUCAUGGCCAGGUGAGUGGCCGCGGGGCGCGUGGGCUGACCUGGGAUUGAAGCGUCUUGGGCUCGGUCUGCGUCCGGAGCUCUUAACAGAGCCUCUGAGCCUCACUAUCGCUCUGGUGCAGGACCCGCAGGCCCGGGGCUUCACGCUAAAUUUAAGAACGUAAAGCAAUACCCAAACAUCCUCCU